rnacentral:rRNA from 1 species
GAUGAACGCUAGCGGGAGGCUUAACACAUGCAAGUCGAGGGGCAGCAUAGGGUAGCAAUACUCUGAUGGCGACCGGCAAACGGGUGAGUAACGCGUAUGCAACCUACCCUGUACAGGGGGAUAACCCGGAGAAAUUCGGACUAAUAUCCCGUAAUAAUAUCCGGAGGCAUCUUUGGAUAUUUAAAGUUCCGACGGUACGGGAUGGGCAUGCGUAACAUUAGCUGGUUGGUAAGGUAACGGCUUACCAAGGCUAUGAUGUUUAGGGGUCCUGAGAGGGUGGUCCCCCACACUGGUACUGAGACACGGACCAGACUCCUACGGGAGCAGCAGUGAGGAAUAUUGGUCAAUGGGCGCAAGCCUGAACCAGCCAUCCCGCGUGCAGGAAGACGGCCCUAGUGGGUUGUAAACUGCUUUUCCAGGGAGAGAAACUUACGCACGUGUUGCGUGACUGACGGUACCCUGGGAAUAAGCAUCGGCUAACUCCGUGCCAGCAGCCGCGGUAAUAGUGUGU